rnacentral:rRNA from 1 species
UAGGGAAUCUUCGGCAAUGGACGGAAGUCUGACCGAGCAACGCCGCGUGAGUGAAGAAGGUUUUCGGAUCGUAAAGCUCUGUUGUAAGAGAAGAACGAGUGUGAGAGUGGAAAGUUCACACUGUGACGGUAUCUUACCAGAAAGGGACGGCUAACUACGUGCCAGCAGCCGCGGUAAUACGUAGGUCCCGAGCGUUGUCCGGAUUUAUUGGGCGUAAAGCGAGCGCAGGCGGUUAGAUAAGUCUGAAGUUAAAGGCUGUGGCUUAACCAUAGUAGGCUUUGGAAACUGUUUAACUUGAGUGCAAGAGGGGAGAGUGGAAUUCCAUGUGUAGCGGUGAAAUGCGUAGAUAUAUGGAGGAACACCGGUGGCGAAAGCGGCUCUCUGGCUUGUAACUGACGCUGAGGCUCGAAAGCGUGGGGAGCAAACAGGAUUAGAUACCCUGGUAGUCCACGCUGUAAACGAUGAGUGCUAGGUGUUAGACCCUUUCCGGGGUUUAGUGCCGUAGCUAACGCAUUAAGCACUCCGCCUGGGGAGUACAACCGCAAGGU